CAGCCGCCGCGGGAAUACGAGGGGGGCAAGCGUUGUUCGGAUUUAUUGGGCGUAAAGCGUGCGUAGGUGGUGGUUUAAGUCCGUUGUGAAAGCCCUGGGCUCAACCUGGGAAUUGCAGUGGAUACUGGAUCACUAGAGUGUGGUAGAGGAUAGUGGAAUUUCCGGUGUAGCAGUGAAAUGCGUAGAGAUCGGAAGGAACAUCUGUGGCGAAGGCGACUAUCUGGGCCAACACUGACACUGAGGCACGAAAGCGUGGGGAGCAAACAGGAUUAGAUACCCCAGUAGUCCCUGUCUCUUAUAC
rnacentral:rRNA from 1 species